AAAGCUGACUAGACUAAGCAAAAGCGACUUGUUCUUAACUAUAAUAGUGAAUAAUUAUAUGCAUAAACGAAGUAUGGAUGACGAGACUCCUGAGGGAACAGGACGGGCCGAAGACUACAGGCUGAGGCUGUCCCCUCGGAAAGCGAAGUCAUACAAUACGAAGUUUUUAUCAUAAAAAGAAGCGU
rnacentral:ncRNA from 1 species